GACAGCGAUGGGGAGGGAGGGGCAGUGCUGUUACACUGGGAUGGAGAGAGGUACCUCUUGGGGUCCCUCCCACCCCCAGCUUCUUUCCUCCAUUUCUUCUCAAUCUUGCCCAGCUGUCCCCU